CUAGGAGGCGUUGGGC
rnacentral:miRNA from 1 species